UGGAGGCCAAGGAAACUCUCGGCUUGAGCAUCACUUUGGAAAUCGAUGCGCCGUGAUUGCGAACCCAGCCUCUGUGGGCAUCUGCCUAAUUGUAGCUGGAUCUUUGCGGGCUUCUCACCAGGCUCAUCCACCCCCGUGCACCGGCAGAGCCGUUCCGAGAGCAUCAUUGAUCUCUUGACUAAAGCGUCCUCAGGAAAUACAGAUCUGCUGUUACCCGGAGAGCCGUCUGCCAUGGAGGCACAAAGACACGCUGCCAGGAGGACAGGAGCCAUCAUUUCCUUGAAAGGCCACCCUCUGGCACUAUCUGUCUUUGGCCAAAGUCUGCAGCGCAUCGCCCGCUCCGAGCUCUCCGUGCACCAAGCUCUCCGUGCGCUUCCAUCCUUCAGCCUCCAGCUCUACAGAGCUCCUUCCAGCGUCCUCACCUACCUGGUGUCCUCGCACCUGGGUGCUCCUGCCUACACUAGCUCCCCCUACCUGUCAUCUCUGUCACCCUCUGUCACCUUGCCCCUUGCUCAGCUUUGCCUCUUGACCCGGGUGGCAGAAGCACCUCUCACUAGGUGUCAGGUGACAGAGUCACCCCGUGCAGGGCACUCCUCCCUGGUCCUUUCCAGAAGAUCAGAGCCUUUCACUGGCAACCUGCCUCCGACCAAAUGAAUGUAGGAAGCAGACUUCUGGAAGGCGGGCCUUGGCGAGGGCUCUGGUGGACGUGUGACUCCCCCCACCCAGUGUGGGGGGCUCCAGGCUGCUGCGGGAAUGAACACCGCGUGGCUGGGGGCAGGACUGGAGGUUUAGCAGCGCAGGUGACACCUGAAACGUAAAGAAGCGACUGCGUUUGCUGCACCCAGAGGUCUGGCUCAUGGAGCUUUCCAGCUGGAGGGGGCGUCAGAAGUCAUGAGCGUGCAGCUUCAGAGGUGUAGCUUGCUUUCAGCUUCGACAUUUCUGGAGUCCCUCGCCUUAGAAUAUAGCAGCCCAGCUCUUUAGCACAGAUUUGAGGUCUGUCACUUCCAGCCCCACUUCUGGCUACAAUAA